rnacentral:lncRNA from 1 species
AAGCAAUUUGCUCAUAGCCAUAGCUUUCUUGUGAAAGUAGGAUAUUAACCCAGGUGUCUUGGUGCUGGAGAACAGAACUGGCCAGAGUCCAUCCUGUCUCCCACCGGCAUCCCAUUACGAAAUGAACACAGAAAAGGCAGGUCUGCAAUGCCAACAUCUAGUAUCUAUCCCAAAGACCAGGGAGAAAGGAAGGAAAGAUUCUGGUUCUGUCCUCUUCCCCAAGGCAAGGCUGGCUGCCCUACCAACAGAGGCAAAGAGAAGAGUGUGCAAGGCUGGCUGCCCUCCCAACAGAGGCAAAGAGGAGUGUGUGUUGAAAUAUCCAUUGAAUCCCUGAGACAACUGGAUCCUGGCCCAUUGAAUCAUAAACUCAUUUCAGAGAAGAUGAAACUGAUGUGCGUCAAAAAGCUGGUAGUCUGUCAAGGAAAUGAGCUGAACAUGUCUGUGUACAGCUUUUGUGCCAUCCCUGGAUGAGCGAGCUGUCUGCCUCUAUGUUCUCCACAAAAUGGAAUAUAGCUGUACACCCAAGCCAAGUUAUGGAGGCUGGGAAGACCUAGAAUGUGGCAUCACUAUUUGGUUAUUUAGAAAAUUGUUACCUCAAAAAUGACCUAGGGGUCCUUAGAAUAAUAACACACAGAAGAAUAGCCUCAUUUUUCUGUUGGGCCCAGGAAACCAUGCCGAUUACCGACCGAGCUCUCAAUGGAAAAAUGCAGUCGGCGUGAACCACGCACGAACACAGCAGAGAAAGAAGAAAACACACACCACGAGGAACCCUAAUAGGACAAUACAUUAUAAGUCACAGUGCUACGGAGAAACCCAGUAGCCACAUGGAAGCAGAGACCAUGCAUAUGCAUCUACUCCGCAGCUCUGUGAAUGUCAGCAGCUCCCACGGACUGGAGAUCCCGUGAGAUCCCGUGAGAUCUCACCCAUAGCCUCAUGGUACAUCCACUUGGUGUGCUGGGAGAGUCAGGAUGAGGACCUGAGAAGAACAGCAGCUUGAACCUGACUUCAUUUAACAGCCCACUGCCCUCUUGCCAAGAACCCAUCACAGACCUUCCCAGAAGAGAGGGAUGAGCCUCACCUAUGAAUAAGUCCUCAGAAACUCAAAUUUGAUUCUAAUGGAUUGUUUUCUCAGAAAGACUGAGCAUGUCCCCCCACAUCUCUGUCAUUUCCCACAGUAGUAACCUCUGCAGAUGCCACAUAGAAAACAAAACAAAACAAAAAAACAUGAGGUUGGUGGGCAGAUAGGCAGGGUAUAAACAAACAGCCUUGUAACCCAGAAGCUGUGUGAUAUACAGUAAACUUCACAACACUGAAAAGAUGUCCUAUCUGUUAAAAUGGGGUAAUAACAACUACCCGAAUGUUUAGGAAUAGAACUUCAAUAAAUGAUACAUUUUAUAGUACAGCAGACCAUCCUGUAAAGGUUUCAUCCUUCACUGUGGUGAUAAAUAUCCCAAACCACAUUGAAAAGCAUUGCAUCUACAUUUAUCUACACUGUAACUGUACUGUAAAUCAUGGGGGAGGGGAGAAUCAUAAAAACACCACCUGUCACCGUGUCAUUAAAGCAAGUUGGAAGUGAUACUUACAGAAACACAGCAAGAGCACCCCCAGUCACACAGUUCAAUCUCUUAGCAAGCGUUUUCUUUCUAGCCCAGUGGUUCUCAGUUUGGAAUUUUUGGCACUGCCUAGAGAUAGUUUUGUUGUUAAAACUGAGAAAAGAGCCGGGCGUGGUGGCACACGCCUUUAAUCCCAGCACUCAGGAGGCAGAGGCAGG